CAUGUGUAAGCACAUAUACAUGAAAUUUACGAGCCCCGAAAAUAAGCCUAUAAGAGGGAUCAGUAACUCUUUCUGGGAUGGUAGUGCGUGACGCCUCUCGUGGAGUGAUUUGUCUGGUUAAUUUCGAUAACGAACUAGACUCAAAUAUAUUAAACAUAUGCUUUCAGGAUAUUGGAAGUGAAGCUUUUAUGGCCUUUACUUAUAAGCAUAGUAAAUCGUGUGAGCGAUUGAAAAGUCGUACCUCUUGGUUUGGGCAAAUUGUAUCUAUCAAUAAUGAGAUCGAGCAAUAAGAGUUCUUACAUGCCCUGGGCUGCACUCGCGCUACAAUGAAAGUCUCAUCGUGUAUUUCCUAGACCGCGUGGUCCGGCUAAACACCUGAACUACUUUAGUAGUUGGGAACUGUCUUGUGAACUGAAGUUGUUCAGGUGAAUUUGGGAUUUCGAGUAAGCAUGAGUCAUUAACAAGCGUU
rnacentral:ncRNA from 1 species